rnacentral:rRNA from 1 species
UGGGGAAUAUUGCACAAUGGGCGCAAGCCUGAUGCAGCCAUGCCGCGUGUGUGAAGAAGGCCUUCGGGUUGUAAAGCACUUUCAGCGAGGAGGAAGGGUAGUGUGUAAAUAGCACAUUGCAUUGACGUUACUCGCAGAAGAAGCACCGGCUAACUCCGUGCCAGCAGCCGCGGUAAUACGGAGGGUGCAAGCGUUAAUCGGAAUUACUGGGCGUAAAGCGCACGCAGGCGGUUUGUUAAGUCAGAUGUGAAAUCCCCGCGCUUAACGUGGGAACUGCAUUUGAAACUGGCAAGCUAGAGUCUUGUAGAGGGGGGUAGAAUUCCAGGUGUAGCGGUGAAAUGCGUAGAGAUCUGGAGGAAUACCGGUGGCGAAGGCGGCCCCCUGGACAAAGACUGACGCUCAGGUGCGAAAGCGUGGGGAGCAAACA